rnacentral:lncRNA from 1 species
UUUAUUUGGCAUGCAUGAUUAACUAGAACGUUUGGUACCGCUACAGUUUGUGCUUUUCAGAGCAUACAACAGGAUCUUCUGCAUUCUUGAAUAAUUAAAACACCCACUGAAGUUAGGCUCUUUAGGUCAUUGCAGUUCACAGCUCACCACUUGUUUAACAGGAUAAACCGACUCUGCGACAGAGACGUGGAUACUUAUUUCAUUGCCUUGAUGAUUCCCAGGAUUGGUAUGCGACAAAUGUGACCAGAACGCGCACGCAAUCAUUCCCUUAUUCUAAUCACCCACACAGGUGAGCUUUAAGCGAACGCGCACGCAGUUUCGUGCUUUUUCCCCCUCUUGUUUGAAUUGUAUCUUAAGUCCAGCUCCAGAAGAAUCUAACCAUAUUUUCUUGUCUUGCAACGUUAAACGCCUGGAUUUCGAUAUUUGAAGGUAUUUCUUUCGCUAUUGGAAAAACAGAUUAUAUCACUUUCUUCGAUAAUACAGGAGACGAUAUUCAGAAUGGAACAGGAGGAAGGAAGAGACAUUAAAGGUGUACGUGCCAUGCUGCAGCACAGUCCAGCCUUUUUGAGGAAUGGGAAGAGCAACAAACCUGCAAUUGCUGAGAAACCGAAGGUGAUACCACUGCCUGAGAAUCGAGUUUCAUGCCUACACACAGGGAUAGUGGCCAGAGAAGGAAAGGAAAAUGUUGCAAAAACACCACUCUCACUCCCUCCAAAACCCAGCAUCACACUUCAGAGCUGGCUGCAAAGCAAAGAGACUCCUGUGGCAAGAGACCCUAACAUUAAAAUGGGUACACCAGACAACAAAGCCAAGAGGUAUGAGGGAUUAACAGUAAGUGAUGCCUUAAGACAAAAUAAUGUGCAGAGGUCUGUGAAGCCUGGCAUGGCUCAAUUGAAUUCAUUUGAAACUACACAUCCACUGCCAGGCAAACCAGAAAAGUUGAAUUGUGACUCUUGUGAUUAUUCAAAGCAGAGUUCCCUUUCAGUCCCUCCAACCUUGAUGGAGGAACUUACUCGGGUUCUACUACCUACAGUGGCUAAACAGGGAAACCAACCUCAAGUCAGUGGCAAGUCAUCAAAGGAAGAUCUGGAGUCUGACACUGAAACAUCUAAGACUGACAUGUCAGUGGUUUCUUUUGCAGCAGUGGAAGAACCUGCAAGCUCCCAGGCAUCUGGGCAUGAACCUCAAAGGGCAGAUAAGAGUGGUUUCUCCCAGCUGCAGAGAAAUGACAGUGCAACUCUUUGUCUGCCAGCCAGUGUAAUACCAGAGAACAAAUCCAAAGUAAAUGGAACUGUGCCCCAGGGACAUGCUUUUCCAAAAACAAAGAAGCAAUUGUUUCCAAUGUCAUCACCAAUCAAACCAAAAGAUGCGUCUUGGGGAACAGCUGAUCUGCUCCAUGGCCUGAGCACAAGUCGUCCUGAGCUUCCUGCUGUAGAUUAUUUGAUGUCUGAAGAUCCUAUCCCAGAGGAGGCCUUGAUUCAACCCAAGAAGCACCAGGCUGUUGUAACAGGGGCAUUUCCUCUUGUACUGUCUGUUCCAUGCUCUCAGGCUGACAGCUCACCUUACAGUGACAGAGAAAUCAGAGCAGGUCUUUUUCCAUCAUAUUUGGAAGCUGAAAAGCCUCCUCUGAGACGACCUCUUCCAGAUAUGUGGUCACUGGGCAAAGCCCCAGAGAAGCCCCCCAGGCCUGAGAUUGUGGACCUCAAGCCAUUACAGACUGGGAUGCAAUACACCCAGAGACAGAAUGAACCUGAGGUUCUAGAAUUGACAAAAACAUCUGCUGGAGACACGAAUGACCCAAAUGAGAGAGUCCUUUGCAACCCAUUUGAUAAUGUAUAUGAUGACAUUGAACUGAGAGGAUUUCCACCAUCUGCAAGUGCACAGAAGGAUCAAGGAGUCCAUACAACAGACCUGGAUUCUGGAAGCCAACAAAAGAAUGAAGAAGCAAGGAAAAACAUGUGGGAUCGAUCCGAGAGUUCUGAUAGUCAAAGUGACAAGGAACAAAAGAAGAGGGAACGUCAGAGGAUUGAGAAGGAAAGAAAGGAGCAAAGAGAAAAGGAAAGGAGAGAAAAUGAAAUAAAAAAGAAGUUUAAUGUAAGUUAA